rnacentral:lncRNA from 1 species
UUCACUCUCUUCUCCACCUUAGAUCCGCGUCCAAACUCGCCAAAUCUCAGGCGAGUGAGCCAAAAUCACUCACACGCACCUUAUCUCACCACGUCAGCAAGAUUCUAACGGCUUCUGACAUUUUCCUUCUCUCGCUGGAUUCGUUUUGGAAUUUCUGAAGAAUGAAUUCCGAAAAUGGGAGCCGUGGAUUGAUUUGAGGAUCAAUCCUCUCCUUCCAUCUGUCAGGGUUCAUUCUAGAAGAGAUUUACUUCCGGAUUUCUUGUGAAAAAUGAAAAAUUCGAGAGAGGGGGCUAUAUAUACCAGGUCUGAUUUGAGGCGAGGGGAGGAUUUUUUUUGGAGGCAGAGGUCACUUGAGAAAAUUAGGGUUCUAGAAAAAGCUUCUCUUCUUCUCUUUUGUUCAUCUGCAUUUUUUUUGUUUAAUUCCAGUCACAAUAGAAAAAUAUAUACAAAAAAAAAAAAUGUUUCGUUUGAUAUUAGCAACUCUGUUCUCUUCACCUUUUAAUUCAGAAAUUUCAUCUUUAUUAUGAGUUUGACUGAGGUUCGAGAUUAGGUGUUAGUCGCCGAUUGGAGAUUCUGUCCGAGCUUGUUGUUUUGGUUCGAGUUUCUGUUCUAGCUGUGGUAUCGAUUUUGUUCGUGUAUUUGCUGAAUAUUUUUGAGGAAUUGAAACUCCAAUCUUCAGGUGCAGUUCUUUCUUUCUUCUCAUGUCUCUCUGUAUGUGUGGAUCCAAGUAUGGUUGAAUCUUAAGAUAUGGAGAUUAAAAUUACAUGUCAUACCUAAGUAAAUGUCAGUAAUUGCAGGCUCGAGUUGUUGUCAUUUUCUGCAUUUUUGUUUAUUUCCUUUAUAAAUCAGUGUGUUUGAGUUCAUCAUGUGUUUGGAACAUCCUGCAAGGUCGGAUUUGCUUUAUCUUGGUGUGAAUGAUUGAGGUUUGAAUCGAGUAUGUGGUUGUUAGAUGAGGUGCAGUGUCUGUUUGUCAAUUCAGUGGCAUUUACAGAACUUCUCACACGUCUCGAAUGCAAUACGAGUUUAUGAAAUUAGUGACCAUUCAUUUUUCUGCUGUUGUGUUGCUUAGUCAGGGGUGUUUAUCAG